AGGCAGCGAUGACGAGAAUCGUAUACCAUCAAACUAUGAAAGCUUGGAAGCUUGUUGAUGCUAUCUAGAAUCAUUACUCUCUGAGCCU
rnacentral:snoRNA from 11 species